UGGCCAAAAGUGAUAAUUACCCAAAUAUUAUGGAUGGUCUUUAUUGCUGAAAAAAGCCCUUUCAGCUAUAUAAUGACAAUUAGUAAAUUAGUCAAUAACAACUUAAUUAACAAAUACAUCUGGUGAAGCACGGAAUCACCAACACCUAAACUAGAAAUUAGAAAGCGAUAAAUGACACACGGAUUUACGUGGUUCGGCCAUCAAGACCUACGUCCACGGGAGGUUCUUCGUUGGUUUUCCUAUCUCAAGAGUAUUUUACAUAUUAUAAGUGAAGUGUGCUAGAAUGAAUUGAUCCCCCUAUUUAUAACUGUGAGAAUGAACCCUAAAGGCCUUAGGCCCACGAACUCUAAUAAUUGGGUUUAGGCCCAAAACUUAGUACAAUGAUCUUAAUCUCCAAGCUGAACCAUCAUUCGUGGCUGCGUGGAAAGGCACUUUGGCUGCGCUGCUCUACGCUGCUGUGCUGCGCGGCUCUGGUCUGCGCUGUUUUUCUCUAGCUGCGCAGCUCUACGCUGCUCUGGUCCGCGUUGCUCUGCUCUGGCUGCGCAGCUCUACGCUGCUCUGCUCUGGCAUGUCGUCUCUGGUGAAGCGGGCUCUUUAGGCAUCUUCGACUGCGUUGGCACCUCUCGACUGCGCAGGCUCUUCGUAUUCAUUUAUUAUCCCGAGUCUUUAGUUAAACCUGCGCUGGUUAGUUUAUAUAAUAUAAUAAUAAUAACAGUAAUCAUAACAAGGUAAAAUAGGCUUGGAUUACUAAGCACAGCGCUGAUGAGUAUUCCAGUCCUCAUCAGCUACUCCCCCUGGUCUAGUUGAACAGCGUUCUCUUUGUUCAACUAGGGGUGUGUGGUGUGAAGUCAGCGCUGUGCUGCUCUCCCGGGUCAAUUAAGCAUACACGAUUCCCUGCGACUUAUUAGACAAGAACUGUCAAUCUUUGCAAAAAUGAUAAAGACAAAGUAUUUUAAUGCUGGAAAUAAGCUGAGAUAAAAGAGAUAGCAAUUAUUCCUUUUGAUUCGUCGAACAUCAUUAAAGAUAAUAAGGGCUUAGAUAACCUGUGCUGGGAAGACUCAAGUGAUCUGCGUUGACAACCUCGCGCUGACUGCGCUGCACCGACUGUGCUGACAACCCCGCGCUGACUGCGCUGCACUACCUGCAUUUGACAAAGAUGAUACACUCCCGCAUAGCGGCCCUUAAGAUGGUACAAAGAUGGUACACUCCCGCCGAAGCGGCCCUCAAGAUGGUACACCCCCGCCGAAGCGGCCCUCAAGAUGGUACACCCCCGCCGAAGCGGCCCUUAAGAUGGUACACCCCCGCCGAAGCGGCCCUCAAGAUGGUACACCCCCCGCCGAAGCGGCCC
rnacentral:lncRNA from 1 species